AAAGUUGUAUAAAACAUUUUUGUCAGUUUUUUUUAAAAAGAUAUGUCUGUGGUCUUUUUAUCUUUCUGUUACAAAGAUAAUUCUGAUACAUAUAUCAAUCAUUAGAUUUUGAAUUUUUAGGAGCUUAAACUAAGCUGACACAUUUAUCUUUCCUACAAUAUAUAGUAAAGGAACAAAUGUCCAAAUGCGAAGAUCUAUACAACAUCAAUAAGUAUUU
rnacentral:lncRNA from 1 species